ensembl:lncRNA
UGACGACACCGUGUCCUUAGCAACGGUCGCGUCUCUACGGCAACAUCCUCCGAUGUCCCCUACCGCUGCGUUCACCGUGACUCUCCGCCGCUUCCACUCGGGUGAAGUGGUGUUUUUUGGGGGGUGGGUGGGGGGGGAUCCGAUCGAGCGCGAGCGCCCACGCCAGCUGCUGAUUGUGUCUCGCGACUUCAGCGCCUAAAGUUGGUGUGCAUGCGCGGCAACUUGGCCACGAGGACGCGCCUCCGUCAUUGAUCGUCCCUUACCGGCACAACCCGCAGCCGCAGGUACCGCUUGUUUCCAUCUGGGCCGUUUUUAUUCAUUUCCUAAUUUCUCGUGAAUGGAUCCCGCCCUGCUCAUCUUCCUGCUGUACGUGAUGAUCGCGCACGACCUGCUGUGCGGCUGGAUGCAGUACCGCAGAGAGCGCGCCGAGCCGCGGGGACGAGCAGCUCGACCCCUGCUGCGCUCGAGGUGUCAUAUAUGACGACCUUUUUAUCAUGAUGACACUUCCGCAAUAACAAACUACUUAAACCGAUGCCACAGAGGGACCUUGUACACACGCUCCUGGAAGGCUUCUUGUUUCUGCUUUUGUCAUGAAAUGCCCCCAGGUGUGCCACGGCGCGUGGAGUACAAGCAGGCCCCACAGAGGAGGGAAGGACCUGAGGAAGAGUGGACGCAUUGUCAGAAAAGCCUGAUAAAAGAGAGGAGCCAAACAAAGACACUUAACCUGAGUAACCUGAAGCACAAUUGGCUCUCAGAGUUGCAGCAAGUUAUGCAAAUUUGUCUCUGCUGUCUUUCAAACACGCCGAAUGUGAGUUUUGGAAGCCAAAUCCACCAGAAGAUGAAAUCUUUGUUCAUGUUGCAUUAAGUCUCAACUUCUCUUUGAGCUCUAUGUUUGUUCCCCCAAAUAAAAACCUGUCUGAG